CCUACGGGAGGCAGCAGUGAGGAAUUUUCUGCAAUGGGCGAAAGCCUGACAGAGCAAUACCGCGUGAAGGAUGAAGGCCUACGGGUUGUAAACUUCUUUUCUCAAGGAGGAAGAUCUGACGUUACUUGAGGAAUAAGCAUCGGCUAACCCUGUGCCAGCAGCCGCGGUAAUACAGGGGAUGCAAGUGUUAUCCGGAAUUAUUGGGCGUAAAGCGUCUGCAGGUUGAUAUCUAAGUCUUUUGUUAAAUCUCCAGGCUUAACCUGGAAUCUGCAAAGGAAACUAUUUAUCUUGAGUAUGGUAGGGGUAAAGGGAAUUUCCAGUGGAGCGGUGAAAUGCGUAGAUAUUGGAAAGAACACCAACAGCGAAGGCACUUUACUGGGCCAGUACUGACACUCAGAGACGAAAGCUAGGGGAGCAAACGGGAUUAGAUACCCCGGUAGUCCUAGCUGUAAACGAUGGAUACUAGAUGUUGUGGAUUUCGGUCUGCAGUGUGUAGUCGUACGUACGUUACGUAGUACCGUCCGUCGGUAGGUAGUAGUCGUCGCGAGAGUAGUAACGUACAACUAGUAAGUUAGUACGGACGUGUAGACGUAGCGACGGACGACGACGACGGGAGGUAGGAG
rnacentral:rRNA from 1 species